rnacentral:rRNA from 1 species
UACGUAGGGUGCAAGCGUUGUCCGGAAUUAUUGGGCGUAAAGAGCUCGUAGGCGGUCUGUCGCGUCGAAUGUGAAAACCCGGGGCUCAACCCCGGGCCUGCAUUCGAUACGGGCAGACUAGAGUUCGGUAGGGGAGUCUGGAAUUCCUGGUGUAGCGGUGAAAUGCGCAGAUAUCAGGAGGAACACCAAUAGCGAAGGCAGCUCGCUGGGACGGUACUGACGCUAAGGCGCGAAAGCGUGGGGAGCGAACAGG